AAGAAAGAUACAUCUUGAUGCCAGGAGUUUCUAGAAGGCUUCUAUACAAUGAAGCCAUAAGAAGUCAGUUAAACUGAUCUGGGGAUGCCCGGUGGAGGAUGAAGUUAAGGGGUAUUUUAAUGGCCACUACAUCCACCAUUUAUUCGUAGAUUUUUUCCACUGAUUUUGUGUUAGGAAAUUGUUGAAAUGAGUCUUCAUGUAAUAAUAUGCAGCAAUAUGUUAUCUUUGAGGUAAAAAUGUUCCUGCUUUAGGUUUUGAUAAUUCAUGCCUAAAACCUAGAGCAUAUAAAAUGUUUUAUUUACUGUGAUUUGCAGGGAUAUUACUCAAUGGCAAGGUUACAUUGACCUAUCAUUUCAUGCAUCAAUGGUUCUUCUAUUGCACUGAUUUGAUCAAGCCUAGUGGAUAAAAGAGGAGCAAUCCACCCAGUGGAUCAAAUUAGAAUUAUAAUAAAAAGUGCACAUACUGAAGGGCAGAGUAGGUUAUGUAUGGUACUUACUAUAGUUGGCAUCAUUUUUUGCAAUCCAAAUAAAUUUUCUAGCAGCUUUCUUUGUAAAUAUUUGUUCAAACUUUAUAUUGAAAUUUUGUGUUUUGAUUUUAUGUAGUUGUUAGUGAUGCUGUAGUUACAGUUGAGGAAAAAAAGUAAUAUUUCAGCUAAUGGAGGCUUUUUUAGGUUAGGUACUUAUAAAAGUGUGAUAAACUUUUUGGCUUUGAAUUCACAAUAACUUCCUGAUGUCUCUUUGCUGUGCAACUUCAGAGAUUGCCGUUGGUCCUUAAACUGAAGAACUCCCUAUUUUGCAGUCAUAAAAUGUCACAUAAUUCACAGGAUUACAAAAUCACAGCAUCAUUGGAGUUGGAAGGGACCAUGGGAGAUCAUCUGGUCCAACACACCUGCUGAAGCAGAGUCACCUAGGUCAGGUUGCCCAGGACCAUGUUCUGUUGGGUUUUGAAUAUCUCCAAGGAUGGAGGCUCCACAGCCUUUCUGGGCAACCUGUUCCAGUGCAAUUCAUCAUAGUUACCUUGUCUGGGACCUGUCAGACAGAGGAAAAGGGACUGCAUGGCCUACAGCCCCCUUGUACUUCUAGAGCACGCUUGUUCCCACUCUUUCUCCUUGAGUGGCGAAAAUAGUUCAGUGAAUGAGGAGGAGCUGUUUACUCUCUAUUCUCUCCUAGAUGAGUCUUACACUGCUCUUAUCCAAGGCACAAUUGUUUAAAAAGGACAGCGACCAAGAAGG